rnacentral:rRNA from 1 species
GACGAACGCUGGCGGCGUGCUUAACACAUGCAAGUCGAGCGGCGCGGCGAACGGGUGAGUAACGCGUGAGUAACUGCCCCCCUCUCUGGGAUAACAGUUGGAAACGGCUGCUAAUACCGGAUAGUGGGGGAUGACUCGCGUCCUAUCAGCUUGUUGGUUGGGUAGUGGCCUCCCAAGGCGACGACGGGUAGCCGGCCUGGGAGGGCAAACGGCCACCAGGGGCUGAGAGACGGCCCAAACGCCAACCGGAGGCAGCAGUGGGGAAUAUUGCACAAUGGGGGAAACCCUGAUGCAGAAACGCCGCGUGCGGGAGGACGGCCUGCGGGUGGUAAACCGCUUUCAGCCAUGACGCGGUAGUGGCAGAAGAAGCAACGGCUAACUACGUGCCAGCAGCCGCGGUAAUAC